UAUGGGGUCCCUAUGGGGUCCCUAUGGGUCCUUAUGGGGUCCUUAUGGGGUCCUUAUGGGGUCCUUAUGGGGUUAAUGGGGUCCCUUAUGGGGUCCCUAUGGGGAUAAAGGGGGUUUAUAGGGUCCCUAUGGGGUCCUUAUGGGGUUAAUUGGGGUUUAUGGGGUCCCUAUGGGGUCCUUAUGGGGUCAAUUGGGGUUUAUGGGGUACAUAUGGGUUCCUUAUGGGGUCAAUUGGGGUUUAUAGUGUCUCUAUGGGGUCCUUAUGGGGACUUUAUGGGGUUAAUUGGGGUCCUUAUGGGGUCCUUAUGGGGUCCUUAUGGGGUCAAUUGGGGUUUAUGGGGUCCUUAUGGGGUCCUUAUGGGGUCUUUAUGGGGUUAAUUGGGGUUUAUGGGGUCCUUAUGGGGUCAUUAUAGGGUCCUUAUGCGGUUAAAGGGGGUUUAUAGGGUUUCUAUGGGGUCCUUAUGGGGUUAAUUGGGGUUUAUGGGGUCCCUAUGGGGUCCCUAUGGGGUCCCUAUGGGGUCUCUAUGGGUUCCAAAGGGCUCCUAUGGGCUCAGAGGGUUUCUAUGGGGUUCCUAUGGAGCCGCGUUCCUACAGCGCCCCCUGGCGGCCGUUCAGCGCAUUGCAGCCCCCAUAGGGACCCCAUAAGGACCCCAUAAAGCCCCCUUAACCCCAUAAGGACCCCAUAGGGACCCCAUAAGGACCCUAUAAGCCCCCCUUAACCCCAUAAGGACCCCAUAGGGACCCCAUAAGGACCCUAUAAGCCCUCCCAGACCCCAGAAGGACCCUAUAAACCCCUUAUGCCGUCUUUAUGGGGUCAAUUGGGGUUUAUGGGUUCCUUAUGGGGUCUUUAUGGGGUUUGGGGGGGUUUAUAGGGUCUCUAUGGGGUCCUUAUGGGGUCCUUAUGGGGUUAAUGGGGGUCUUUAUGGGGUCCUUAUGGGGUCCUUAUGGGGUUGAGGGGGGUUUAUAGGGUUUCUAUGGGGUCCUUAUGGGGCCCUUAUGGGGUAAAAUGGGGUUUAUGGGGUCCUUAUGGGGUUAAUUGGGGUUUAUGGGGUCCUUAUGGGGUUAAUUGGGGUUUAUAGGGUCUCUAUGGGGCCCUUAUGGGGUCUUUAUGGGGUUAAUUGGGGUCCUUAUGGGGUCCUUAUGGGGUCAAUUGGGGUUUAUGGGGCCCUUAUGGGGUCUUUAUGGGGUCCUUAUGGGGUUAAUGGGGGUUUAUAGGGUCUCUAUGGGGUCCUUAUGGGGUCCCUAUGGGGUUAAGGGGGGUUUAUGGGGUCCCUAUGGGUUCCUUAUGGGGUCCUUAUGGGGCGUUUAUGGGGUCUUUAUGGGGUGAAUUGGGGUUUAUAGGGUCUUUAUGGGGUCCUUAUGGGUUCCUUAUGGGGUUUAUGGGGUCCUUAUGGGGUCCUUAUGGGGUCUUUAUGGGAUUUAUGGGGUCCUUAUGGGGUCAUUAUGGGGCUUUUAUGGCGUUAAAGGGAGUUUAUAGGGUCCUUAUGGGGUCCUUAUGGGGUCCUUAUGGGGUUAAUUGGGGUUUAUAGGGUCCUUAUGGGGUUCUUAUGGGGUUAAAGGGGAUUUAUACGGUCCUUUUGGGGUCCUUAUGGGGUCCUUAUGGGGUCCUUAUGGGGUUGAAGGGGGUUUAUAGGGUUUCUAUGGGGUCCUUAUGGGGUUAAUUGGGGUUUAUGGGGUCGUUAUGGGGUCCUUAUGGGGUCUUUAUGGGGUUAAUUGGGGUUUAUAGGGUCCUUAUGGUGUCUUUAUGGGUUUAAUUGGGGUUAAUGGGGUUCUUAUGGGGUCCCUAUGGGGUCCUUAUGGGGUUAAAGGGGGCUUAUGGUGUCUCUAUGGGGUCCUUAUGGGGUUAAUUGGGUUUUAUGGGGUCCUUAUGGGGUCCUUAUGAGGUCUUUAUGGGGUCAAUUGGUGUUUAUGGGGUCCUUAUGGGGUCCUUAUGGGGCUAAUUGGGGUUUACGGGGACUUUAUGGGGUCCUUAUGGGGUCAAUUGGCUUUUAUAGGGUCCCUAUGGGGUCCUUAUGGCUGCAAUACCCCUCCCGUCCACAAGGCGGCGCUACUGAGCGCAGACUCACCUUUGCGCAUGCGCAUCAGCCACCAUCCGGGUCCUUUCCUCUGCGUGCUGCGCAUGCGCGUCUGCUGUAGAGAGCGCAUGCGCUGUAGCUGCCAUUUGCAGCGCAUGCGCAGUACGC
ensembl:lncRNA